GGGAUUGGAAGGCCUCCUAGGCAAAUGGAUCCUAAAGCAUUCUUGCUUCAAAAAUUCAAUGUAACAGCUAGACAACAAAUAGCAAAUCUUUUGGAUUGCACUUCAUGGUCAGGGGCUAGACCAGGGUUAAUGAAUGCAGUUACUCAAGGUGCUCUGCAAGCAGGAAAACCAGUUGGUGGAUUCAAGAUUGGAAAAGAAGCUGGGGAAUGGACUGCAUCCAACUACCAUCCAUACUUGCCAUCAGAAAAUUACCUCACCUGCAGGUAAUCUGCCACCAUUGCUUGAUUUCUUAUUCAAUAGAUUUGAUUGCGAGUAGCUUCUUAUAUCGUUUUGACUUUUGAGUUCAGGUUUUUCUCUGCAAGGAAACAGGUUUGGUGGAUGUUGUAGUAAGGAAUAAUUCACUCGAUAAGACUACUGUUGUUGCUCUUCUCCAAUCUUCAAUAAUCAUUGUCUAUUUUGACUCAUACAUCGGUACAUCUUAUAGUAUAUAAAUAAUUGCCUUGAACCAUUUUAUCAUAGUAUCAAAUUUCUUUUGGUUUUUUACUUCUCAUAUUUGAUUAUUUGAUCAUCCAACUUGCUCUGCCUAAGACUUCACGAAUUGCUUUGUCCAGAUUAUAUUCCAAGCUCUUGAACUUUCAUGGAGCUGAAUAUAUAACUAACAAAUUUAUAAUUCUAAUUACUAUUAUUAUUAUUAUUUUGGCUUUUAGGAAUUUUCGAUUCCACAUCUGUCUUUAGAUUUACUUUAUGUUCUUCUUUAUUAACCAACAAGAAAGAAGGCAUAAAGAGGUGAUAACCAAUGCAUGAAUGAAGUUAGAUGACAAUAGAAGCAGCAAAAGCAAGAUACUACACUCAUUCAUGUUUUGUGUUGUGUGUAUAUAUUAUAUGUAGUUGUGGGCCAUUCUCGGUCUUCUUUUGUUCGUAGGAAAGCAUGCACUAUCGGUUCCGAAACACCACCUGAUGCCCUCUCACCCUCAAGCACCACUUGUAAACAAGCUCUUAAUCCAUGGAUAUUUUCUGAGUAUAUGGGAUGAUGCUCUUCUACUCCCUUCUACUCUUUGAGAUUCAAAAAAGAAUAGAAGAAAUGGCUAGUGCUGGUUUGGACACUAAUUCUCUUGAGAUAUAUAUUU